AUCAACUGUGAUGUAGCAUCUGCUAGGCAGAUUCUUGGAGCAAGAGUGAAGAGAUAGGGUCCCAUCACUACGACACUUUAGGAAGAAGAAAUAGUACAGAAGAGAUAGCAUAAACAGCAGCUAGACAGAAGAUGGGAGUCAUCAAACAUGUGUCCCAGGAACCAGACCCAUCAACUGAGCACAGGACCUUGGGUGUGCACAUGGCCGAGGAGUCUGGAACCUACCUGAAGUUCUAUGAAGAGGUGACUGGGGGUUGGCAGAGAGGGACACUGUAGCAAGAGUCAGGACUCUUCCUGGGCCCCAGAGUCUUAGAUAUCCUAAGAUGAGGACAGCAAUGGAGGAGAGACUUACCCAAAUUCCCAGAGCCAGUGUUGGUUCAGGCACUAGCACCCAUAUCUCCUGACUCCCCUGCAAUGCUCUGCCAGAAGCUCAAUUAUGCUUGAUUCUUUCACAGGACCU